rnacentral:rRNA from 1 species
GACGAACGCUGGCGGCGUGCCUAAUACAUGCAAGUAGAACGCUGAAGGAGGAGCUUGCUUCUCCGGAUGAGUUGCGAACGGGUGAGUAACGCGUAGGUAACCUGCCUGGUAGCGGGGGAUAACUAUUGGAAACGAUAGCUAAUACCGCAUAAGAGUAGAUGUUGCAUGACAUUUGCUUAAAAGGUGCAAUUGCAUCACUACCAGAUGGACCUGCGUUGUAUUAGCUAGUUGGUGGGGUAACGGCUCACCAAGGCGACGAUACAUAGCCGACCUGAGAGGGUGAUCGGCCACACUGGGACUGAGACACGGCCCAGACUCCUACGGGAGGCAGCAGUAGGGAAUCUUCGGCAAUGGACGGAAGUCUGACCGAGCAACGCCGCGUGAGUGAAGAAGGUUUUUCGGAUCGUAAAAGCUCUG